rnacentral:lncRNA from 1 species
ACAAAACACUUUCUUAAACAAAACUAAAGUGAAGAUCUUUCUUUACCUUACUAUUUUCAGUGUGGAGCACAAAGGUGCCUUCAUUGCGUACAUCUAUAUACAAGAAGUAAAGGCAAACCGUGGAAGAACUUUUGGGGCUAUAUACCAUAGAGUUAGUAGCAUACAAGUGAAAGUAAAAGAGAGAGAUAGUUAUGUAUAAACCUUCUUUAGAUUCUCAAGUAUACUGAACUAAGCAAAAGUAGAUUUGUAUAUGCAUGGACAGGCUCGAUCAAGAAAGCUAAUGAUGUCAUAAAGGACACAAUCACACCUGAGCUUAAAUAAGAGCCUGCAAGUGUCAC